GACGAACGCUGGCGGCGUGCUUAACACAUGCAAGUCGAACGGUAAGGCCCUUCGGGGUACACGAGUGGCGAACGGGUGAGUAACACGUGGGUGAUCUGCCCUGCACUUCGGGAUAAGCCUGGGAAACUGGGUCUAAUACCGGAUAGGACCACUGCCUGCAUGGGUGGUGGUGGAAAGCUUUUGCGGUGUGGGAUGGGCCCGCGGCCUAUCAGCUUGUUGGUGGGGUGAUGGCCUACCAAGGCGACGACGGGUAGCCGGCCUGAGAGGGUGACCGGCCACACUGGGAAGGAGAUACGGCGCAGACUCCUACGGGAGGCAGCAGUGGGGAAUAUUGCACAAUGGGCGCAAGCCUGAUGCAGCGACGCCGCGUGAGGGAUGACGGCCUUCGGGUUGUAAACCUCUUUCAGCACCGACGAAGCGCAAGUGACGGUAGGUGCAGAAGAAGGACCGGCCAACUACGUGCCAGCCGCCGCGGUAA
rnacentral:rRNA from 1 species